AGUGAACGCUGGCGGUAGGCCUAACACAUGCAAGUCGAACGGCAGCACAGUAAGAGCUUGCUCUUACGGGUGGCGAGUGGCGGACGGGUGAGGAAUACAUCGGAAUCUACUUUUUCGUGGGGGAUAACGUAGGGAAACUUACGCUAAUACCGCAUACGACCUACGGGUGAAAGCUGGGGAUCUUCGGACCUUGCGCGAUUGAAUGAGCCGAUGUCGGAUUAGCUAGUUGGCGGGGUAAAGGCCCACCAAGGCGACGAUCCGUAGCUGGUCUGAGAGGAUGAUCAGCCACACUGGAACUGAGACACGGUCCAGACUCCUACGGGAGGCAGCAGUGGGGAAUAUUGGACAAUGGGCGCAAGCCUGAUCCAGCCAUACCGCGUGGGUGAAGAAGGCCUUCGGGUUGUAAAGCCCUUUUGUUGGGAAAGAAAAGCAGCAGGUUAAUACCCCGCUGUUCUGACGGUACCCAAAGAAUAAGCACCGGCUAACUUCGU
rnacentral:rRNA from 1 species